rnacentral:lncRNA from 1 species
AGCAACUCAAGCAUUGUAAAUCUCUCUUUAGUGCAAUACAAGUUCUCAUUUGGCUUCAUUGCUUUCUUCUCUAGUUCGAGAAGUUCAAGGCUUACUUAGCAACCGUUGGCAAAGUUGUCUAAGUGCCGCACGGGUUAGCUGCCAAAGUUGUCUAAGUGCCGCACGGGUUAGCUGCGCAAUUAUACUCAUCCCGUGACACUAGGCAUCACAGCUAAGGAACUCACUACUCUCAAGGCACAACAACGUCAAGAUAAGACAUUUCCAU